rnacentral:tRNA from 1 species
AAUAAAUAGGCCAUGGUAGUGAGGUAAUUACAAUUUAGCAAAUUAACACUGGAGUGAUAGAUGAGCAGAUGAUGAUGUGCAAGUACAAAUACUGGUGUGCAAAAGAGCAGAAAGUAAAUAAAAACAAUAUGGGGAUGAGGUAGGUAGAUUGGGUGGGCUAUUUACAGAUGGCCUAUGUACAGCUGCAGCGAUCGGUUAGCUGCUCAGAUAGCUGAUGUUUAAAGUUACAUAGAGAUUCAUCCCCUUACUAUAAUAGCUGUGUUGCAAUAUUGAUACAACUUGAUUUUCUGCAAAGUCCUCCAAGUAAAGCACAGGUCCAUGAUAUCAGAUGUCUUUCAUAAAGGCACAGAAGGGAUUUGAACCCAUGAUCUUCGGUUUACAAGACCAACACCUUACCACUUGGCCACCAUG